GGCACCUUAUAAAGAAAUUGCAGUAUUAUAAAGGCUCCAUACACAGUGGGUAAAAGAGUGGCAAAAAACUCAAACAGCAACAAAAGCUCUGCGUUUAAGCUGCAGCAAAGAGGGGCAUGUUGAGGUUUUAAAGAACUUUAAUGGACUCGGCCAGAACACUGAGAAUGCAUCUCCUGUUGGUCUUAAUGAUCCAAAACAU